GAUGAACGCUAGCUACAGGCUUAACACAUGCAAGUCGAGGGGAAACGACAUCGAAAGCUUGCUUUUGAUGGGCGUCGACCGGCGCACGGGUGAGUAACGCGUAUCCAACCUGCCCAUCACUUGGGGAUAACCUUGCGAAAGUAAGACUAAUACCCAAUGAUAUCUCUAGAAGACAUCUGAAAGAGAUUAAAGAUUUAUCGGUGAUGGAUGGGGAUGCGUCUGAUUAGCUUGUUGGCGGGGUAACGGCCCACCAAGGCAACGAUCAGUAGGGGUUCUGAGAGGAAGGUACCCCACAUUGGAACUGAGACACGGUCCAAACUCCUACGGGAGGCAGCAGUGAGGAAUAUUGGUCAAUGGGCGAGAGCCUGAACCAGCCAAGUAGCGUGCAGGAAGACGGCCCUAUGGGUUGUAAACUGCUUUUAUAAGGGAAUAAAGUGAGAGUCGUGACUCUUUUUGUAUGUACCUUAUGAAUAAGGACCGGCUAAUUCCGUG
rnacentral:rRNA from 1 species